GCUCCCGUAGUGUAGUCCGGUCAAUCAUCUGGGACUCUCAAUCCCAGGACUCGGGUCCAAAUCCCGACGGGAGCACCA
rnacentral:tRNA from 1 species